rnacentral:misc_RNA from 1 species
GAUGAAGAACGUAGUGAAAUGCGAUAAGUAAUGUGAAUUGCAGAAUUCAGUGAAUCAUCGAAUCUUGGAACGCACAUUGCGCCCGCCAGUAUUCUGGCGGGCAUGCCUGUUCGAGCGUCAUUUCAACCAUCAAGCCCCCGGCUUGUGUUGGGGACCUGCGGCUGCCGCAGGCCCUGAAAAGCAGUGGCGGGCUCGCUGUCACACCGAGCGUAGUAGCAUACAUCUCGCUCUGGGCGUGCUGCGGGUUCCGGCCGUUAAACCACCUUCAUAACCCAAGGUUGACCUCGGAUCAGGUAGGAAGACCCGCUGAACUUAAGCAUAUCAAUAAGCGGAGGA